GGGGCGGUAGCUCAGUUGGGAGAGCAUCUGCAUGGCAUGCAGAAGGUCCGGGGUUCGAGCCCCCGUCGCUCCACCA
rnacentral:tRNA from 2 species